CAGUAGCCGCGGGAAAACGUAGGGCGCAAGCGUUAUUCGGAAUUAUUGGGCGUAAAGGGUGCGUAGGCGGCCCCGCAAGUCUCAUGUGAAAUCUUCAGGCUCAACUUGAAGUCUGCAUGGGAAACUGCGGGGCUGGAGUAUGGGAGAGGUGAGUGGAAUUCCUGGUGUAGCGGUGAAAUGCGUAGAUAUCAGGAGGAACACCUGUGGCGAAAGCGGCUCACUGGACCAUAACUGACGCUGAUGCACGAAAGCUAGGGGAGCAAACAGGAUUAGAUACCCGCGUAGUCCCUGUCUCUUAUAC
rnacentral:rRNA from 1 species